UAGUAAAGUAAUGGUGAUUUUAUCUUUUUACUUCCAUUACAGGGGACCACAGGUGGCAUCUACUGUGGCCCAGACAUGCAUAUUACUGGAAGAUGUCUGCUAUUUUUAUAGCUGUGGCUUAGGGCUUUCACAUACUGCUAAUGAGAUGAAGCACUAUGCUUUUAGUUUCUGUAGUGAUUUUCAUAGCCAGUCGUGCAGGAAGACAUCAGUCAACAGUCAUUGCAGGACCUGAUGAUUAUCUCUCACAGAAGGCAGAGACUCUCUCAAAUUCAUGUAUAUAUGUGGGUAAGAGAAUGCAUGGAGGGUAGGAUAUGGUCAUCAGUAAUUCAAAUUUAUUUCCUAAAGGAACCUGGUAGUAUGCUAUAGAGUCCAAGGAAUCUGCCAAGGCCAUUUAGGAAAAUUCACUGCUCUAGCUUAAGACAAGCUGGACACAGUGCCUGUCUCAUGCAAUUUAUCUGAUCAUUUGAGUAUUUUUCUCUCUCCACUAUUGGGCUAAACAACUGGAAGAGAUUGAUCAGUAUUAUGAUGAAAU
rnacentral:lncRNA from 1 species